UGGAGGUAUCAGAAGUGCGAAUGCUGACAUAAGUAACGAUAAAGCGGGUGAAAAGCCCGCUCGCCGGAAGACCAAGGGUUCCUGUCCAACGUUAAUCGGGGCAGGGUGAGUCGACCCCUAAGGCGAGGCCGAAAGGCGUAGUCGAUGGGAAACGGGUUAAUAUUCCCGUACUUGGUGUUACUGCGAAGGGGGGACGGAGAAGGCUAUGUUGGCCGGGCGACGGUUGUCCCGGUUUAAGCGUGUAGGUGUGUGUUCCAGGUAAAUCCGGUUCACUUUAACACUGAGGCGUGACGACGAGGCACUACGGUGCUGAAGCAACAAAUGCCCUGCUUCCAGGAAAAGCCUCUAAGCAUCAGGUAACACGAAAUCGUACCCCAAACCGACACAGGUGGUCAGGUAGAGAAUACCAAGGCGCUUGAGAGAACUCGGGUGAAGGAACUAGGCAAAAUGGUGCCGUAACUUCGGGAGAAGGCACGCUGACACGUAGGUGAAGUGAUUUACUCACGGAGCUGAAGUCAGUCGAAGAUACCAGCUGGCUGCAACUGUUUAUUAAAAACACAGCACUGUGCAAACACGAAAGUGGACGUAUACGGUGUGACGCCUGCCCGGUGCCGGAAGGUUAAUUGAUGGGGUCAGCGCAAGCGAAGCUCCUGAUCGAAGCCCCGGUAAACGGCGGCCGUAACUAUAACGGUCCUAAGGUAGCGAAAUUCCUUGUCGGGUAAGUUCCGACCUGCACGAAUGGCGUAAUGAUGGCCAGGCUGUCUCCACCCGAGACUCAGUGAAAUUGAACUCGCUGUGAAGAUGCAGUGUACCCGCGGCAAGACGGAAAGACCCCGUGAACCUUUACUAUAGCUUGACACUGAACAUUGAGCCUUGAUGUGUAGGAUAGGUGGGAGGCUUUGAAGUGUGGACGCCAGUCUGCAUGGAGCCGACCUUGAAAUACCACCCUUUAAUGUUUGAUGUUCUAACGUGGACCCGUAAUCCGGGUUGCGGACAGUGUCUGGUGGGUAGUUUGACUGGGGCGGUCUCCUCCUAAAGAGUAACGGAGGAGCACGAAGGUUGGCUAAUCCUGGUCGGACAUCAGGAGGUUAGUGCAAUGGCAUAAGCCAGCUUGACUGCGAGCGUGACGGCGCGAGCAGGUGCGAAAGCAGGUCAUAGUGAUCCGGUGGUUCUGAAUGGAAGGGCCAUCGCUCAACGGAUAAAAGGUACUCCGGGGAUAACAGGCUGAUACCGCCCAAGAGUUCAUAUCGACGGCGGUGUUUGGCACCUCGAUGUCGGCUCAUCACAUCCUGGGGCUGAAGUAGGUCCCAAGGGUAUGGCUGUUCGCCAUUUAAAGUGGUACGCGAGCUGGGUUUAGAACGUCGUGAGACAGUUCGGUCCCUAUCUGCCGUGGGCGCUGGAGAACUGAGGGGGGCUGCUCCUAGUACGAGAGGACCGGAGUGGACGCAUCACUGGUGUUCGGGUUGUCAUGCCAAUGGCACUGCCCGGUAGCUAAAUGCGGAAGAGAUAAGUGCUGAAAGCAUCUAAGCACGAAACUUGCCCCGAGAUGAGUUCUCCCUGAGACUUAGAGUCUCCUGAAGGAACGUUGAAGACGACGACGUUGAUAGGCCGGGUGUGUAAGCGCAGCGAUGCGUUGAGCUAACCGGUACUAAUGAACCGUGAGGCUUAACCUUACAACGCCGAAG
rnacentral:rRNA from 1 species